rnacentral:rRNA from 1 species
AGAGUUUGAUCCUGGCUCAGAAUCAACGCUGGCGGCGUGCCUAACACAUGCAAGUCGAACGAGAAAGUGGAGCAAUCCAUGAGUAAAGUGGCGACCGGGUGAGUAACACGUGACUAACCUACCUUCGAGUGGGGGAUAACCUCGGGAAACCGGGGCUAAUACCGCAUAACAUCUUUGGAGUGGAAAUUCUGGAGAUCAAAGGAGCAAUUCGCUGGAAGAGGGGGUCGCGGCUGAUUAGCUAGUUGGCGGGGUAACGGCCCACCAAGGCUUAGAUCGGUAGCCGGCCUGAGAGGGCGCACGGCCACACUGGAACUGAAACACGGUCCAGACUCCUACGGGAGGCAGCAGUGGGGAAUUUUGCGCAAUGGGGGAAACCCUGNACGCAGCAACGCCGCGUGGAGGAUGAAGUCCCUUGGGGACGUAAACUCCUUUCGACCCGGACGAUAAUGACGGUACGGGUGGAAGAAGCCCCGGCUAACUUCGUGCCAGCAGCCGCGGUAAUACGAGGGGGGCAAGCGUUGUUCGGAAUUAUUGGGCGUAAAGGGCGCGUAGGCGGUGCGGUAAGUCACCUGUGAAACCUCUAGGCUCAACCUAGAGCCUGCAGGCGAAACUGCCGUGCUUGAGGGUGGGAGAGGUGCGUGGAAUUCCCGGGNGUAGCGGUGAAAUGCGU